GGGCCACAGCUCAGUGGAAGAACAUCUGCCUUGCAAGCAGAAGGUACUAGAUUCAAUCCCCAACAUCUCCA